GCGCUCUUGGCCGAGCGGUCUAAGGCGCUAGUUUAAGGCACUAGUCUUCGGGCGCGGGUUCGAAUCCCGCAGACCGUA
rnacentral:tRNA from 1 species